CAGAGACAGAGACAGAGACAGAGAUGGACGUGCCAGAUGCAGAGGAGACUCUAGCACUUGACCUGCCACGGUUACCUAUUGGACAAAUGUGUACUCGUUACACCCAAGGCUCUAUUCCAGAAGCUAGACAAGCGUAUAUGAAGGCCAGGAGCCAACCUCAGAGAACUUAGUGGAGAAGACAGAUGAAAAUAUGACCAUGGUGCCAAGCUUUGGGAAAAACUUGUGGAGACUCAAAUUUCUGGCCCAGGAAUCCUCAGGAGUAGAAGCAGAGCGUUGCCGUCUGCACACAGGAGAGGCAAAGCCAAGCAGAUGAGAAACAAGAUGAGAAGCACACACAUUUCAGCCUGUUUACUGCCCAAAACAGAUAAUGGAUGGGCCGCUGUGUGAUUCUUCCUGAUAAGUGGUCAAAGGAGAUGAACAGCAUCACACCAGGAAAUGGAGAUAGUAAAUCACAGUGUGGAAACAUGCGCGAUCUCGCCAGCUAUGAAAUAAAAUUUAGAUUCAAGCAACUUUCAGGUCCCAUUACAUGCCUAUUAAAGCUGCAAAAAUAAAUAUGAUAAAACCCAAGAUUGGCAGUCGGUAGAAGCACAUCCUUGAGCAUUGCUUUCUGGGCCAAUUUACAUAAGCAAUCAGGCAGCAUGAAUGAGAGCUCUGCCAUUUCUAUACUCUCUGACCCAGGAAUUUUCUCUUUGGUAACAAACGCCAUGGUAUUAGCCCCAAAGAAAGAAAAACAUGUGUAGAGCAGCAUUACCUGUAAUAACUAAAACUCGCCCACAACCCAAAGGCCGAAGAAGAGGGGGCUGACCAAGCAAAGACACAUGUG